UACGUAGGAUGCAAGCGUUGUCCGGAAUUACUGGGCGUAAAGAGCGAGCAGGCGGCCUUACAAGUCAGAUGUGAAAUAUCCCGGCUUAACUGGGAGGGGUCAUUUGAAACUGUGAGGCUAGAGUGGAGCAGAGGCUAGCGGAAUUCCCGGUGUAGUGGUGAAAUGCGUAGAUAUCGGGAGGAACACCAGUGGCGAAGGCGGCUAGCUGGGCUUUGACUGACGCUGAGGCGCGAAGGCUAGGGGAGCGAACAGG
rnacentral:rRNA from 1 species